ncrna:unclassified sequences DTF3800-XI RNA
UGGGCUGGCCGGAAGGUCUAGGUCCACCGCGGCGGGGAUAUUCCCC